rnacentral:tRNA from 1 species
GCCAUUCGGUAAACAUCGAGUGGAUAUCUACUAGCAGUAAGAAUAGCAGAAUCAAGCCAUUUUCCGCCCGUUUUCAAGCCGUUUUCUCUGCCUCCGGAGCAGAAGGCCGCAGGUUCGAAUCCUGUUCGGGGCA